rnacentral:misc_RNA from 1 species
CAGUGUUCUCUGCCCUCGCGGGUAGAAACGCCCACCCUUGUAUAAUUUAUCUUGUUGCUUCGGCAGGCCGCCUUCGGGCACCGGCUUCGGCUGGACCGCGCUUGUCAAAGGACCCUAAACUCUGAAAUGUUAAGGUGUUGUCUGAGUCCCAUAUAAAUAGUUA